GACGAACGCUGGCGGCGUGCCUAACACAUGCAAGUCGAACGGAGAUACGAUUUCGGUUGUAUCUUAGUGGCGAACGGGUGAGUAACGCGUGAGCAACCUGACCUUCAGAGGGGGAUAACAUUUGGAAACAGAUGCUAAUACCGCAUAAGACCACGACCCGACAUCGGGAUGAGGUCAAAGGAGCAAUCCGCUGAAGGAGGGGCUCGCGUCCCAUUAGAUAGGUGGCGGGGUAACGGCCCACCAUGUCGACGAUGGGUAGCCGAGCUGAGAGGCUGAUCGGCCACACUGGAACUGAGACACGGUCCAGACUCCUACGGGAGGCAGCAGUGGGGAAUAUUGGGCAAUGGGCGCAAGCCUGACCCAGCAACGCCGCGUGAGGGAAGAAGGCCUUCGGGAUGUAAACCCUUGUUGUACGGGACGAAGGAAGUGACGGUACCGUACGAGGAAGCCCCGGCAAACUACGUGCCAGCCGCCGCAGUAA
rnacentral:rRNA from 1 species